rnacentral:rRNA from 1 species
UUCUAAAUAAAGACCAGUAUGAACGGCUAAAUGAGGACAAACCUGUCUCUAAUAACUAAUCAGUGAAACUGAUCUUCCAGUACAAAAGCUGGAAUAUACACAUAAGACGAGAAGACCCCGUGGAGCUUAAAACAAAGUACUAACUAUCAAGCCCUAGUACCCUGUUUUGAGUUGGGGCGACUUCGGAAUAAAACAAAACUUCCGAGCACAGAACCACCAGUUCAAGCCAAGGCCAACAAGCCUAAGCACAAUACGGACCCGGCCCAUGCCGACCAACGAACCAAGUUACCCCGGGGAUAACAGCGCUAUCUUCUUCAAGAGUCCCUAUCAACAAGAAGGUUUACGACCUCGAUGUUGGAUCAGGACACCCAAAUGGUGCAGCCGCUAUUAAAGGUUCGUUUGUUCAACGAUUAAUAGUC